rnacentral:lncRNA from 1 species
GAUUGAUCACUAUCUUUUAUGAUAAUCCUUUGAUUGGGAGCAUUUAGAAAUUAACCACUAAUUAAUGUAUGUCUCAAAUUUUUAACUCUUUAAGAAUAUACAAAAAUUAUUUUUGUUAAUUUUUAAGAUAAAUCAUGGACACAUAAAUAUGAUUAGAAUGAAAAAGCUCUUUAUUGAUAAUAAAAAGAUUACAAGUACAAGUAUAGGCCUUAGAAUUAUAUGUCUCAGCCAACAAUUGGCUUCUGGGGCACAAAUCCAACAGUCAAACUCCAGCCAUCUCACUUCGAGCAGCUAUAGCACCAUAGAUUAAAGGACCAGUCAUACAACUAUAGCAUCAAAAAAGUUACUAACGAGUGAGCAGACAUCCAUGUGACUUCUCGUAUUGGUCACACUCAAUGCUAGUUAUUCUCUAACAACUAUUUGUACUCUCACUCCAAUGUCACUACAUCAC